GUCCAUAGUUAUUCUUUUUCUUGCUUUGGUAGUGGUACAUACCACAGCAUCAAGAGACAUGCCAAGUUACAAUGGUCUUUCUGACCAAAAGAAUGUUUUUGUAGGCGCUGGAGGUAUCGGUGGCAUUGGAAGCAAUGGACUGCCUUUUGGUGGAGUUGCUAGCGGAGUAGGUGGCAAUGUUGGUGGAUUUGGUGCUGGAAUUGGUGGUGGAGCUGGAUUUGGUGGAGGAAUUGGGGGUGGUGGACUAGGUGGAAUAGGUGGAGUAGGAGGACUAGGUGGUAUAGGUGGAGUUGGUGGAGUAGGUGGUAUUGGUGGCGGUGCUGGUGGUGGUGCAGGAAGUCUUCCACUUCCAUGAAGAUUAUUCAUCACUUUCAUGUAACUAAGUUUUAUUCUUAUCUUUAUAAUUAGUUCAAGUUUGUUUCAUGCAUGUCAAGUUUGCUUGCUACUAGUGUGAGAAAAGAGUGUUUUAUUUUUAUAUUUUAGGUUGUUGAUGUUUGGAUUUAUUCAUAUUGUAAUGUUACGUGAUUUUUCCUGUGUUCAAUGAAAUGUAAGUGUUAUUGCACUUCUUUAAUUUCUUUUAAAGUCUCACUUUUGUACGUUUCUUAUGUUUACUUUGAUAUGGUUGAUGAAGUAGUACCUAGGUGUAAAAAAAUCUUGUGGUUUGGUGGAGCUAACCACAAACACAACAUAAAUAACAUGAAAAUAAUUAUGUAGUCCAAAAAUAGCUGGUGACUUGAGGUGUUCCUGAACAUAACAGAUUGGAAUACAUCUACAAUCCAUAAACAAUUUUGAAAUCUCUACAUGAAAAAAAGAUAGACUAUAGAUCCAAUGUAGUUAUGAUAUGCAUACUACAUCAAGGGAGGGGGGGAGGGGGGUGGGGUAACGUUUGGCACACAAAUGCUCCCCAUUGGAUAAUAAAGAGGAUAUUUAAGGCAAAGGAGAGUACUCUCGAAGCUGUUGAAUAUGAGGAACAUGAAUUGACAAUUAUGGAAAAGUUUAGUACAAAGCUAAUAUACUCUAAAUUGAGGGGUAUUACACCAAAAUUAAUUGGAGAAGACAAGUGUGUGAUAACCCUAGAGGCUCAAAAUGGAUUUUUGUACUAUUUUUAGUUACUUGAAAGAGAUUAUGACUAGAGACAGACUAGCAAAAUGAGAUCAAAGUUGUCUACACUUAAUUAAUUAUUACCCUUAGAAAUUGAUCUUACAAUUUUAUACAUGAUGUAAUUUGUGAACCUUGACUGAGAAGUGUUGCGGCUGUCCAACAUUACUCUUUUUUGCCUUCAAUUCUCACUUUGGCAAUAAAAUCAAGCUAGUUAUUACAAAAAUAAAAAUAAAAAAUUGACAUGAUAUAUAUACACCACUUGAACCAAAUAUAAAUAUUAAUAAGCACACUAAACAAUUAAUGAGUAAUAAUAUAACAAGAUAAAUAAAUAGAAAUAUUAACUUGUACUAAUAUUUAUAUACGAUGGUUUAAGUAGAUUUUAUGUUUAAAUUCCUCUUAUUAUUUACUUUUUUUAGUAUUCCAACUUUAUUUAUACUUUUAAAUUACUUUUUUAUUUGAUCUACGGGUCGGUCCAACCCAAAUUACUUACACCUACGAUCUAGCAGACUUACUCAAGUUGAGCUAAAAAGUCAUAUUCUUAGAUGAAUACCAAAAACUAAAUCCAAUCUUUUCAAAUCAUGAAUUGGGCUUGACCGGCCCAAUAAACCUAGCCCAUAUUAAUGGUUCUAUGCAUUAUUUUGUGCGACAACCAAACUUACCCUAAUAAUAUCAAUGAGGUGGUUGGUGUCUUAUAUAUCCAUCAAUUGAAACAUCUUUUUAAGACCUCAUUUGUUGGUACUUACUAGAUGUCUGAAUCUGAAUCAUUUAAAUAUUAGACCAUUAAGUGCAUUUGUACGUUUUUAUUAAGGUUUUAACCACUUAAUGGGUCUUUUUUUUUAAAAACAAUUGCCUUGUCAUUGCCAUUAAUGUGGAUUACAAAAGAGGAUGGAGGUCAUUACCUUGCCUUCCUAAUGAGAUUUGCAUAAUAUACGAGCACAAAAAGAGGCACAAACAAUGUCAAACACAUAGAAACACAUAGAAACACCUCAAGGAGGUUAAAAAAGAUCAUACUCGGUUUUCUUUUUUUACUCUGAAGGAGAGAAAUUGCCAUUUUUCAAUGUUUAGUAGGCCUCUAAUCUACCUGGGAAUAGUGCUAGGUUGGGUAAAUACUUUAUAUUCCUCAACAACUUGUCUCAUUGAGGCCAAUUUAUCGGCCACAUGAUUUGCUUCCCUAGAACAAUGGUUAAUAAUUACAUCAUGUCUCUGAAUAAAUCUUCUAAUCUCCUCCACUGAUUCCUUAAUCCUCUAUUGAGAGGAUCAAUUAUUAUUAAUACAAUUCCGAAGGAGUAGAGAAUCAGUCUCAGUAAUUAAUGAUGAGAUUAUGACCAUUGUUAAUACACCAUCUAAGUCCAAAGAGGAACACAUUUGUUUCUGCAGUGUUGUUAGUGCCACUUCCAAGUGGGAGGAUGAAGACCAUCAAACAUGUACCCAUGGAAUCUCUCACUAUUCCACCACCUCUGGUAGAAUUUCCAACAUAUGAACCAUCAGAGUUCAUUUUCCCAAAUAAGAGAGGGGGUUUCAACCACCUCACAGGUACAGAGCUGGUAUUAACUAUGUUAAGUUUCAUGAGCUUUAAUAAAUUAAUUCUCUCAUUUUUCAAGUAUAUUAAGAUUUGUAAAAAAAUUCUUCGACAAUUGACACAUGUUGAAAGAUAUGCGGGACGUAGAUCUAAUGAUGGUGGGCUUUUCUUUCUCAUAUCUAGAGUUACACCUUGAUCUUCAUAGUUCCCAUAUUAAAAUAGGAGGGAGAAUUUUACAACAUAGUACUAAUUUUUUGUGAUACAAUUUCAACAACUUUGAAUUGAAUCCCGGAGUUUGAUAUUCCUGGUACUGAUAUCCAUUCUUCCUAAAAAAAGAACUCCAUAAUAACGGUGCAAAAUGGCCUAAGCAGAAGAGAUGUUCAGCGGUCUCCAUCCCCAAUUUCAUACCAAUUAUGGUCCACUUGCAAGUUUGGGCUAGCAAUUCACUUUCUUCAUUAGAAAAUGAAACUACCGAUUUAUUGUUUAGAAAGUUGUGAAUUCUUGGUGAUAGCCGAACUUUGGGUCUUUGAGCAUUUCGAUUCCUUGCAAGAUUGGCAUAGGACAUUUUAGUGUUUUCGCCCCUUUAUUUGCCAAUGAAUGAGAAGAUUUUUCUUUGCUUGAACUAGGGAUUGAUUAUAAAUGGUUGAAGGAUUUUAGGUAAUUGGGUAACCUGAUUUAGGAGCUGCAGGGGUGGGAAGUGAACAGAGAGAGUGGGAAACUUUGGAUUUAGGGAUGAAAAAGGUUGCAAAGCCAUCGAAGGGGGGACAUCGAGGAUCGGGAGCUCCACGGUGAGGAACAUGAGCUCGCCGGAAUCUACCAAAAGGCUAAGCAACGGUCAAUCUUUUUAGAGAGAGAAAAGAAGAGAUAAGUAUUUCUGUUGGUGACGAUUCUACUUCGCUUAGUUUUAUUAUAUAUAACUAAAUAGGUCUUAAUCAUUAAGAUCUAGAAAAAAGUCUUAAUGUCAUUAAUAAGUAUUCUUGUGUGGAUAAUAUUCACCAUUAUUCUAUCCACAAUCACCAACUAUCACCACUAAUUAAUCACCUCUGUCAUCACAAUUACCACCAUUGUCAACCACUAGCUAUUAUCUCUGUCUACUAUCAACCACCACCAUUGCUAACUACUACUACUAGUUGCUACCACACUUACUGUUGACACCAAAUUUUGGUCUGAUAUUUCUAAAGUUGAUACUUUUAAAGUAUUUUAUUUUUUAAAUAGUUCAAAAUACAUGUUUUGCCAUUUUAAUGCAAUUUGUUGAUAAUUAUCCUUAUUCUCAAAGUAUUAGGAUUUUUAUCGGUUAAUUAUGUUUAUAUUAUUUUGUCACAAUCGGUUUAAUACGUUCAAAUAUUUGUUCAGUUUUUAUAAAAUUAUUAUAUCUGUUAAAUUACAUUUUUUACAUGUCAUUGGUUACAUUCAUUACAUUUUUUAUAUUCAUUUUCUCUGUUACAUUUGUUAAUAUUUAUUUUGAUAUUUUGUACAGCCUAGGAAUUCAUAGAUAAUAUUUCAUACAUAGAUAUUUUAUUAACCGGUAUUUUGACUCACAAUUUUAAAAUAGUGGGAUUGUACUAUUGGAAGUUUUCAUUUCCCUAUUUAAAGAAAAGUUUGUUCAUUAGGUUAAAGGGUAGUGGAUAAGAUUUUUAGGGGGUAAUUUACAGAUUUUUUAUUCUUUAGUUGUUUAUUAUUUUUCGGCAAGUCGUCGGAGUUUCGCCGGAAUCCAGCGAGUCCACCACCACAAUGCCUUUGUUUUUUUUCUUGUUUUUUCGGUGAAAUAGUUGCUGGAAACAGCUCCAAACAACAACCAGGCAUCUCCAGUCACCACCCUCCUUCCCUAUUUCUUCUCCAGUAGCUACAGACCAUGUCUAACAGGAUGGUGACUCUGCUGGAGAUGUAGAGGUUCUAAUCAUUAUGAGUUUAUUUUUUCAAAUUAAAGAAACUAUUCUUUUAUUGUGUUAUUCAUUAUAUCUUGUAUAUUUUGUUGAUUAUUUGCAUAUUGUACUCAUUAUUUGUUGUACAUUGUUGUUGCAUUCAUAGCAUUUUCUCAUAUAUGUAUAUUAUAUUAAAGAACGAUUUCUGCAUAAUUGCAGCCGGGCUUUUUAUACUCAACCUUUUUCCGGAAUGAUUGACAAUUUAUUGAUUUGUCAUGUCUAAUGGUUGUCGUGAGUUUCAGCCUAAGUUGUCUGCUUGGGUUCCUGGUCUUUUAAAAGCCAAUUUUGCUAGCCUAGUUUUAGAAUAUUCAUAAUCCAAGUUUAAGCUUUACUCAAGUCAGAAUCUGUUGGAACUACGCUUGACCUGAUUCUUACUUCAACCGGAUACGUAGGCGCCACAAUGGCUCGGUCAUAUUUCACAUAAGAUUUUCAUUAUUUCAAAAUGGAAAUUGGGACAAAUUUUUUGAGGAGGUCUCCAAAAAUUUCAAAAAGGAAAUAAUUGUUACAAGAAUGAAUAUCAGAGGUUGUUAAAGUUGAAACAGGGGUAAAAAUUUUAAGGAAUGCCCUCAAAUUUUUUACCAAAGUUGUACUCAGACUCCAAAUUUAUGAGGCAUCACUCCGAGUUGAUUUGUACAUGUUACAUUAAUUUUUUGUACAUGAGGUUAUAUUCAUUAUAUAUAUUUGAUUUUAUUUAUCUUACGUUACAUUAAAAAAUUGUUUUAUUUGACAUUUUUAAAGUUUGGGUGAUCCGCCCUUCAACAUGACUCAUUAAUUUUUCAUUUCAGUUAUUUUCUUGCAAAAAAUUGAAAUAAAAUUGUUUGACAUUAUUUUAAGUUGUGUUGUCCACCCUUCAAUGUGACUCACUAAUUUUUUAUUUUUGUUACUUUUACUUUAAUUAAUAAAAAAGAUUGUUAAAUUUAGGUGGUCCGCCCUUUAAUGUAACUCACUGAUUUCUUCAUUCUUAUUAAGUUUUCUUUAAAUAAUAAUAAUAAAAAUGUAUUUUUUGUAAAUUUCGGUUGCCCGCCUUUCAAUGUGGCUCAUUGGUUUUUCAUUUCCAUUAUUUUUUCCUUUCAAAAAUUCAUUUGUUGUUCAAAAUAUAUAUUUUGUGUCAUAUCUAAACGAACUACGCAAACUUGAUUCUCAUCAAUGAGAUACGUAGGCAGCCCCUAUUGGGUUUGGUAUUUUUUAUUUAAAAAAUUCUUUAUUUUUUUUAUUCUUUUUAAAAUGUAUGUUAUUUUUGACUUGGUUGGUGCCAACAUAGUUCGAGUAUCCAUAUGAAAAAUAAGUGUUGAAAUGAAGAGGAUUGACAUUUUGUUAAGCCAUGGAUUCUUUUGGUACCUCUCAUUCAUAUUUUUGUUACAUGGGAAAAUAUUCUCUUGCUUACAUUCAAGAUUAGAACAAAACCAGAUUCAUUGUUUCAGGUGCUUUGUGUGGUGAGUUUUGAAUUAAAUUCAAUUGUGUUGCUUUGUUGAUCCAGAACUUGGCCUGAAUGUUGUUGAGGCAAAAUUUUGAGUAACUUUUGAUUUGAGAAAUGAUUGUAGGUCUUCUUUGAUCCAUUUGAGCCUUUUAAACCCUACCAAAUUACAUUAAUCCUUAGUAUAUCCCACUUUAAGCCUUAAGCUUUUUCUUUGGAUAACCACAUUUUAGCCCAUACCUUUUCUAAGUGCUUCUACGCACUAUCCCCUUUUUUGCCUGAAUUUCUUGAGCGCACUGAAGACGUGAAAAUUACAAAAGAAGAUUUAAAGUUCAAAUUUGUCAAAGACAAAGGUUACAAAGUCCCUGAAAGUAAAAAAAAAUACAAAAAUGACUUCAAAGAAAGAAGAAAAAGUUCAAAAUUCCCCACAAGUUCAAGCAAGCAAAAUUUCAACAAAAGAAGAAGAACACUCCAAACAAACAUGGAGAAACUUCAAAAGAUGAUGAGAAGGAAAAAAGCUCAGACAAGCAAAUCUUCAAAAGAAGUCAAAAAGUACGAAGGGAAUGGACAACAAAGAGGAUCAAACGCUAAAAGCGUAACAAAUGUUGAAAGCAUCAAUUUAGUGCAAUGCUCAAAAAGGGAAUAAGUCACUUUUAUCCCAAAUGACUAGCCUACCCGUCCCUAAGUUCACAUUACAAGUCAUUAACAAGUCCUACAUGAUUUCAUUUCAAAAGAUUCUCACAUUAGUGGAGGUUUACAUGAAGGCCAAGCCUAUGAUAUCACAAUCGCAUGAGUUGAACAUUUUUUUUGAGUGUGAGAGUACUUUUCCAAAUGUUUUCAAAUCAAAAUACUUUAAAUGUGUGCAAAUUAGGACUUUCUUUGUAGUGAGGGCACUUGAAACAUGAUUUUAGGUCUAGUUCAAAGUCUUUGUUUGUAGCAAGAUGGACAAAUCUUGUCGUUACUCGAGUACAUUUGAGGUGCCACUUGAAUCCAUAGGAAUUACCUCGAAGUCAAUUUUAGUUGAAAGAGAAAAAAUUGUGAGAAAUUUUUGUACAAUACUAUUGUUGGCUCUAACCAAGUUAAAAUAUGUUUCAUUGUUACAUUAUACGGGGAACUCAUAUUGAUACUUGUCCAUACCAACUUUGUGGACCGUUUCAUUGUUGAUGUUUGUUCAUACCAACUUUGUGGACCGUUUCAUUGUUGAUAUUUGUCCAUACCAACUUUGUAGACUAUUUCAUUGUUGAUAUUCCAAAGUAACUUUGUGGACCGUUCCAUAGUUAAAAUUGUAUUUUUGGAUCGUCAUAUCCUUCAAAAUGACAUCUUUUUAUUUUUUGGGUCGUCAUAUCCUUUAAAAUGAUAUCUUUUUAUUUUUGGGUCAUCAUAUCCUUCAAAAUGACAUCUUUUUAUUUUUGGGUCGUCAUAUCAAAAUGACAUCUUUUUAUUUUUGGGUCGUCAUAUCCUUCAAAAUGACAUCUUUUUAAAUUUAGGUCGUCAUACCUUUCAAAAUGACAUUUAAAAAAUGAAAUAAUAAUUUGUUAUCUCAAAUAAAAUUAUGUUUUUUAAAAUUGGUUUGUCAUGUCGUUCAAUAUGACACUUUUUAUUUUGUUAUUCCAUUUCAAAAUGACAUUUUUUAUUAUUAUUCAUGAUGUUAUGAAGUUUGAAUUGUUGCAUUGGUUAAUACCUUGUUCAUAUGAGGCCAUGUUUGCAUAAUUUAUGUUGCAUUUAUGUUAUAUUUGUUACUAACAUUGUUAUUGCAGAUUUUGUGAUACACCAUUCAUAUUAAGUUCAAGAUUGGGUUGUCAUCUCCCUUCAAAUGGCACGUUAAGUUCAAGUUGGGUCGUCCCCUUUUCAAAGAGACACGUUGGGUUGUCGCCUCAUUCAAAGUGACAUGUUAAGUUCAAAUUGGGUCGUCCGCCUUUCAAAGAGACACGUUGGGUUGUCACCUCGUUCAAAAUGGCAUGUUAGAUUCAAAUUGGGUCGUCCGCCUUUCAAAGAGACACGUUGGGUUGUCACCUCGUUCAAAGUGACAAGUUAAUUCAAAUUGGGUUNNNNNNNNNNNNNNNNNNNNNNNNNNNNNNNNNNNNNNNNNNNNNNNNNNNNNNNNNNNNNNNNNNNNNNNNNNNNNNNNNNNNNNNNNNNNNNAUGUUGGGUUGUCACCUCGUUCAAAGUGACAUGCUAUAUUCAAGUUGGAUCGUCCGUCUUUCAAAGAGACACGUUGGGUUGUCACCUCGUUCAAAGUGACAUGUUAUAUUCAAGUUGGGUCGUCCGCCUUUCAAAGAGACACAUUAGAUUGUCACCUCAUUCAAAGUGACAUGUUAUGUUCAAGUUAGGUCAUCUUCCUUUCAAAGAGACACUUUGGGUUGUCACCUCGUUCAAAGUGUCAUGUUAUAUUCAAAUUGGGUUGUCCGCAUUUCAAAGAGACACAUUGGGUUGUCACCUCGUUCAAAGUGACAUGUUAUAUUCAAGUUGGGUUGUCCGCCUUUCAAAGAGACAGGUUGGGUUGUCACCUCAUUCAAAGUGACAGGUUAUAUUCAAAUUGGGACGUCCGUCUUUCAAAUAGACACGUUGGAUUGUCACCUUGUUCAAAGUGACAUGUUAUAUUUAAGUUGGGUCAUCCGCCAUUCAAAGAGACACGUUGGGUUGUCGCCUCAUUCAAAGUGACAUAUUAUGUUCAAAUUGGGUCGUCCGCCUUUCGAAGAGACGCAUUGGGUUGUCACCUCGUUCAAAGUGACAUGUUAUUCACAUCAUCCUCCUUUCAAAGAGGUGCACUACCUUCAUUGUGCAAUUUCGCAAGUAACAUCGAAGGUAUGCGAAUGUUUUCAAUUUACAAUUAAUCUUUGCCUUUUGUUUAUUAUUUUUAGCCCCGUUGAUGGACGUAGAGUGUUGUUCAAAACCUUUACUAACGUCUCAUAUUGUUUUGUUCAAAGUUUAUCAAACCAAAUUUGGGUUCGUCAACUUUGUUUUAUCUCUUUCAUCGAUCCUAAUCAAACAAAGGGGGAAGUUGUUAACACCAAAUUUUGGUCUGAUAUUUCUAAAGUUAAUACUUUUUAAGUAUUUUUUUUUGAAUAGUUCAAAAUACAUGUUUUGUCAUUUUAAUGCAAUUUGUUGAUAAUUAUCCUUAUUCUCAAAGUAUUAGAAUUUUUAUCGGUUAAUUCUGUUUAUAUUAUUUUGUCACAACUGGUUGAAUACGUUCAAAUAUUUGUUCAUUUUUUAUAAAAUUAUUAUUUCUCUUAAAUUGUAUUUUUUACAUGUCAUUGGUUACGUUCAUUACAUUUUUCAUAUUUAUUUUCUCUGUUACGUUUGUUAAUAUUUAUUUUGAUAUUUUGCACAGUCCAGGAAUUCAUAGAUAAUAUUUUAUACACAGAUAUUUUAUUAACGGGUAUUUUGACGUUUUUAAAAUAGUGGUAUUGUACUAUUGGAAGUUUUCAAUUCCCUAUUUAAAGAAAAGUUUGUUCAUUAGGUUAAAGGGUGGUGGAUAAGAUUUUUAGGGGGUAAUUUACAGAUUUUUUAUUCUUUAGUUGUUCAUUAUUUUCCAGCAAGUCACCAAAGUUCCACCGAAAUCCGGCGAAUCCACCACCAAAACCCCUUUGUUUUUUUUCUUGUUCUUCCGGUGAAAUAGUCGCUGAAAACAGCUCCAAAUAACAACCAGGUAUCUCCAGUCACCACCCUCCUUCCCUAUUUCUUCUCCAGUAGCUACAGACUAUGUCCAACACUUACCUCCUUUAUUAUUAUGAUUAUAUCCAUUGCCACCACUACCCCAUCUCUCUAGCCACCGCCAACUCUACCAUCACUAUUAUCACGCUAUAGUCAAUUCCUACUAAAUAAACUUUGUCAUCACAACUAGCACCACUGCCAACUACCACCAUACACUCUUCAGCCAUCAUCACCAAUAUUGUCACCUUCACAUCCACCACAACUAUCAACCACUUCAGCACUAUGAUCAAUCUCUACUACCAACAACCUCCAUCAUCAUAAGUAGCACCGCCGCCAACUACCACAAACACUUCACCAACCACUACACUUUCGUUUUUCAUCACCAUUAACACCGUCAACUACUAACAUCAACACCACCAACUACUAACAUCAAUCAAUUUCAUCAUUGUAACUACCAACACCACUACCAUUCAUCACCAUUAUGUUAGUUAUCACAACACCAACCACCUCCACCAUCACAACUAUCACCACCAUCAUUACUAUUUUACUAGCUACUAACAACAACUAUUAUUACCAGCACCAUCACUAGCGAGUAUACGUGUUUCAUUUUUUUAUCAAAUAAUAAUUUUAUUUUUUAAAUUCAUUUUUAAUAUUUUAAUUAAUUUUUAUUUGAAUUGUAUAUUUAUUAUGUACAUUCAAAUGUUUAAAAACAAACUGUCUUAAUCAUUCAGUGUUUAGAUAUAACGACCACAUCUUAAUUAUUCAUAUUUACACUACUAAAUCUUAGGGGCCGUUUGGCCAUAGAUUUCCCAAGUAAUAUUUGGGGGGAAAUUUGGCAAAUAGUGUUUGUUCAUACAAUUUGUCAUUAUUUGGCAAAAAAAAAUUGGCAAAUAUUCCAAAUUCCCAAAUACUAGUUUUUUCUAGUAUUUGGACCAAAUCUCAUUAUUUGGGAUCUUUUAAAAUUAAAAUUUUACACCAAACUUUUAUAUUUUACAAAAACACCCUCUAUAGUAGUUAUUUGCGUUGUAUUACAUAAUUUUUUACGUGAACACCAAAGUAGUUAUGAAAUAUUCAGUGAAUAUGAAAGUGAUGAUAUGGUUGUUGAUGAAAAUGAUGAACAAUUGGCCCAUGGUAACAAAGUCAUGUGCUUUGUCUACUUCACGAUGUAUGGAAUGAUGUUUGUUGCACUCACUCCAAACUACCACAUUGUUCCAAUGUCAUGGACACUAGUUAUUUGUUGCAACGAAGAUCCAUUGACUUCUAAUACAAACUUAUGGUUAGUUUUGAUAUUUUUUAAAACUUAUGGGUAUAAAUCACAUUUUUCUUAAAAAAGUCAAAUAUGUUUCCCAAAUACUAUGGCCAAACACAUGGUGAAAUUUCACCCAAAUUUUCACUCAAAUAAUAUUUGCCAAAAAUAUUUGAAAAUCCAUGGCCAAACGCUAGCUUAAUGAAAACAAAUGAGACCUAACUGAAUCAUAUAAUAAAGUCACGUUCAAUUAGCCACAUAGGCGCGACCCCAUAUUCGACCCAAACUAACUAGCAGCAGUGGAAUAUAUGAUACUAGCAACAAUAUCUAUUAAAUUCUUAAUCAUUAUUUUUUGGGAAAAAGAUAAAUAUAUCCCUGAACUAUCAUAAAUGUUAUUUAAAUAUCCUCUGUUAUAUUUUUGGGACACUAAAACUCUUGUCGUCUAAUUUUUGGAGUGUAUAUAUCCUUUGUACUGACGGGGGGACACAUGUCUCAAUCUUAAAGACCUAUCCGAAAUUUAUUUGAUUUUUACCCAUAAUUAAAAGACUCACCCAACAAAUUCAAAACUCGUCCAAAUAACUAAGAUCCAGCCCAAAUUAUAAGCCAAAAUUUUCAUAUGCCCAUCUCAAAAAUAAAAAUAAUUUUCAUUCCUAAAAAAACUCAAAUCUUGAUACCAUAGACCACAACAUACAUCUCAAACGAAAAGCAAUACAUUAAAGCAUAUCAAAGAAUCAAAUCGGAAACAAAAUUACAUCAAUAAACUUUCAAAUUCCAUGGAAAAAAUCAAUCUUAGUAAGAAUUUACUCUACUUCAACCAACAAAUUACAAGCCCUAAUAUGCUUAAAGAAGUAAUGGAACACUUUGAAGACCAAAACGAUUAAAAGAUCAAAACUUUAUCAGAAAUCUCAACAACAUACUAUCAUCGGGUCAGAUCUAAGCCCAUCACUAAAUUAGAAGACAAAUUCAAAAAUCGAAAUGCUCCAAAAAAAAAAAAAAACUAAUCUUUGUCUAGGUCUAUUUCCAUGGCAGUUGAAGCAAGACACCUUAGUCUUUUCACUCAACAACAACAACAUAUCAUUUCAAAUCAAAGAAAUGAGUUUUCCUACAAUACCCAGAUGAGGUUCUUCUCUUUUGCCGUUGCCAACGCCGGAAUUGUUUUUUGCCCUUUUUGUGCGAUUCCGUUCAAAUUAAAAUGUCUCAUGAAAUUUGAUAUAAGGUCUAAUUUAGGGAAUUAAAUGACUAAUGAAAGUGAAGAUUUUUGGGUUGUUUUUGGAUUAUAAUUUGAGUGUGGGUUUCUAAGUUAAUUGGGUGAGUUUUGAAUUUGUUAGGUGGGUCUUUUAAUGAUGGGUAAAAAUCAAAUAAAUUUUGGGUAGGUCUUUAAGAGUGAGGCAUGAGUCCCUCCGUUAGUCGAAAGGGUAUAUACAUUCCAAAAAUUAAACGGCAAGGGCAUUAGUGUAAUAAAAGUAUAACAGAGGUUAUUUAGAUACCAUUUAUGAUAGCUCGGAGGUAUAUUUGUCCUUUUUGUCUUAUUUUUUUUUUGUAUAUUUAUUACUUUAUUUUUUUAUGUCCUACUCAGUGUUCGAUAUUGGUAUUAAAAUUCGACUAAAUCCAUACAUACAUAUGAAUAUGUUUUGUUAAAAUUCUAGCUCUGUACACAUGUAUGAAUAUGUUAGGUUGUUAGAUUUAUGAAAAAAAAUUAACCUCAGAGGAGUCUUGCUUUUGGCAGGUACCCACCAUAUAAUUAAACGUUCAGUUUGAAUUCGUUAGGUUUGUGCAGUUGGGGCAUGAUAGGAAGAGUUAUAAUUAUCAUAGAAUUCAUGUUGCAGUAGAAGGGAGUGAUUAAGAGUCUGUUUGGAUUAGCUUAAAAGUUAAUCAAACUUAUUUUAAAGUUAUUUUUAGCUUUUAAAUGGAUGGGAUAUGUUAACAAGAGCCAAGAACUUACUGGAAAAAACAUUUACUACUACGCUUUGAAGGGGUCUUCACUACAUAAAAUAUGAUCAUUAGUGGCAAUUAAUUAACGGCAAUAGCUUAAUUGUUGCUAAAUAUGUAUUUUUGCGGCAAUAAGCACUGUUUGUAUAUGUCCCUAAAGCGUUUAGCGACAUUGAUUCUAAUGACACUUAACUAAUGUCGGUAAAAACUUUAUCACUCCUUAUUAAUGUCUAUAUUUAUUACCGCUAAAGGUUGUUUUUGUUGUAGUGCUUCCUGAUCACUCCUCAGUUGAGAGCAUUAGCUGUCAGUUUUAUUUCUACUAUAUGAUCUCUGCAGAAGAAGAAAAUGUCAUCUGAUGAACAACUGUUUUCAAAUGUUUAAAUGCUUGUAUUCAUUCCUCCACCAACCCAUUUUCUGCCUAUAAAAAGAUACUCAAGGAAACACCACUUCAUCACUACUCAUCAAGUGUAAAGGCAUAUAUAGGAUAAAGAAAAGUAAAGUUAUUUAGGCAAUAAUAGGAAGUGAUCAUGGCAAACAAGUUGUCCAUAGUUAUCCUUUGUCUUGCUUUGGUAGUGGUUCAUACCACAGCAGCAAGAGAAAUGCCAAGUGACAAUGGUCUUUCUGACCAAAAGAAUGUUUUUGGAGGCGCUGGAGGCAUCGCUGGCAUUGGCAGCAAUGGCUUGCCUUUUGGUGGAGUCGUUAGCGGAGUAGGUGGCAAUGUUGGUGGAUUUGGUGCUGGAAUUGGUGGUGGAGCUGGAUUUGGUGGAGGAAUUGGGGGUGGUGGACUAGGUGGAGUAGGU
rnacentral:lncRNA from 1 species